rnacentral:lncRNA from 10 species
CUUCUCAAUUUUCAUCUCGUGAGUGUAGCAACAUGAAUUAUAGCUUGUCAAGCAAUACAUUUUCUCAGCGUUGAGAAGAUUCUGCUCCAUUUUUUCUGAUUAUGGAUUCUGUUCAGAAGGAAGCCGAAUUUUAAGUCAUCGUUCUAGGAUAGCCUUGGAAAGAUGCUGCCCCAUUUUCUCCAUGUCUCCGUGAAUGCUCUUGAGAAGACAGCCAUUGUUUAAAUCAUCAUUCCCAGGUAGGCAGUUAAUUUUUAUUUCUCUGGCACUUUUAAUUUAU